rnacentral:tRNA from 1 species
GGGGAUUUAGCUCAGCGGCAUAAGCGCCUGCCUUGCAAGCAGGCAGUCGUGAGUGGGAUCCCCG